UACGGAGGAUCCGAGCGUUAUCCGGAUUUAUUGGGUUUAAAGGGUGCGUAGGCGGACUGGUAAGUCAGUGGUGAAAUCCUGCAGCUUAACUGUAGAAUUGCCGUUGAUACUGUUAGUCUUGAGUACAUUUGAGGUAGGCGGAAUGUGGUGUGUAGCGGUGAAAUGCAUAGAUAUACCACAGAACACCGAUUGCGAAGGCAGCUUACUAAACUGUAACUGACGCUGAGGCACGAAAGCGUGGGUAUCAAACAGGAUUAGAUACCCUGGUAGUCCACGCUGUAAACGAUGAUUACUGGUUGUUUGCGAUACAUUGCAAGUGACUGAGCGAAAGCAUUAAGUAAUCCACCUGGGGAGUACGUCGGCAACGAUGAAACUCAAAGGAAUUGACGGGGGCCCGCACAAGCGGAGGAACAUGUGGUUUAAUUCGAUGAUACGCGAGGAACCUUACCUGGGUUUAAAUGGGAAGUGACAGGCUUGGAAACAGGCCCUUCUUCGGACACUUUUCAAGGUGCUGCAUGGUU
rnacentral:rRNA from 1 species